rnacentral:snRNA from 1 species
AGCAGUAGUACAGUGGCAGUAUCAUAACCAAUGAAGUUAAUCUGAGGUAUGAUUAUUGCUAGUUGAAAAUAUUCUCUCUCUCUCUC